UAAAGCUCUUAUAAACUGAGACUAUUUGAAGAUAUAUCUUCUUAAAGAAUCAUAUUGUGUUUCCUUGUUUUGCUUUGCAGAUUUCAGAAAUGGAGAUUGGCUUAGCAGUUGGUGGUGCAUUUCUCUCUUCAGCUUUGAAUGUUCUCUUUGAUAGGCUUGCUCCUCACGGUGAUCUUCUCAACAUGUUUCAGAAGCAUACAGAUGAUGUUCAGCUCUUUGAGAAGCUGGGGGACAUUCUGCUUGGUCUUCAAAUUGUGCUAAGUGAUGCAGAGAAUAAGCAAGCAUCAAAUCAAUUUGUGAGCCAGUGGUUAAAUAAGCUUCAGACUGCUGUGGACGGUGCUGAAAACUUGAUAGAACAAGUCAAUUAUGAAGCUUUGAGACUUAAAGUGGAAGGUCAGCUUCAAAAUCUUGCAGAAACAAGCAACCAGCAAGUAAGUGACCUUAACCUGUCCUUGAGUGAUGAUUUCUUUCUUAACAUAAAUAAGAAGUUGGAAGACACUAUUAAAAAAUUGGAGGGGUUGGAAAAGCAAAUUGGUCGCCUUGGCUUAAAGGAGCAUUUUGUUUCGACUAAACAAGAAACUAGAACACCUUCAACUUCUUUGGUUGAUGAUGCUGGUAUCUUUGGAAGGCAGAAUGAAAUAGAGAAUUUGAUUGGCUGUUUAUUGUCUAAGGAUACAAAAGGAAAAAAUCUGGCUGUAGUUCCUAUUGUUGGAAUGGGUGGCCUGGGUAAGACGACACUUGCUAAAGAGGUUUACAAUGAUGAGAGAGUGCAGAAACAUUUUGGUCUGAAAGCUUGGUUUUGUGUUUCUGAGGCAUAUGAUGCUUUCAGAAUAACAAAAGGGCUACUUCAAGAAAUUGGGUCAACUGACUUGAAGGUUGAUGACAAUCUUAAUCAGCUACAAGUCAAAUUGAAGGAAAGCUUAAAGGGAAAGAAGUUUCUUAUUGUUCUGGAUGAUGUGUGGAAUGACAACUACAAUAAAUGGGAUGAAUUGAGAAAUAUUUUUGUACAAGGAGAUAUAGGAAGUAAGAUCAUUGUGACGACACGUAAAGAGAGUGUUGCCUUGAUGAUGGGAAAUGAGCAGAUUAGCAUGGACAAUUUGUCUAUUGAAGCCUCUUGGUCUUUAUUUAAAAGACAUGCAUUUGAAAACAUGGAUCCUAUGGGACAUCCGGAACUUGAAGAGGUCGGUAAACAAAUUGCAGAUAAGUGCAAAGGACUGCCUUUAGCUCUGAAGACGCUGGCUGGCAUGUUACGCUCCAAAUCAGAGGUUGAAGGGUGGAAACGUAUUCUGAGAAGUGAAAUAUGGGAGCUGCAAGACAAGGACAUAUUACCAGCGUUGAUGUUGAGCUACAAUGAUCUUCCCGCACAUUUAAAACGAUGCUUUUCCUUUAGUGCAAUAUUUCCUAAAGAUUAUCCAUUUAGGAAAGAACAAGUUAUUCAUCUGUGGAUUGCUAAUGGUCUCGUACCAAAGGACGAUGGGAUAAUUGAAGAUUUAGGCAACCAAUACUUUCAGGAGUUGAGAUCAAGAUCAUUAUUUGAAAGGGUCCCAAAUCCUUCUGAAGGGAACAUAGAGAAUUUAUUCUUAAUGCAUGAUCUUGUCAAUGAUUUAGCCCAAAUUGCAUCUUCAAAACUUUGUAUCAGGUUGGAAGAGAAGCAAGGAUCUCAUAUGUUGGAAAAAAGUCGGCACUUAUCUUAUUCCAUGGGAAAAGAUGGUGACUUUGAGAAAUUGACACCCCUCUACAAAUUGGAGCAGUUGAGGACAUUGCUUCCGACAUGUAUUGGUCUCAAUUAUUUUUACCCUCUAAGCAAGAGGGUGCAGCAUAACAUACUGCCAAGACUAAGAUCCUUAAGGGCAUUAUCAUUGUCAGGUUAUGAGAUUAAGGAGUUGCCAAAUGACUUGUUUAUCAAAUUAAAGCUCCUCAGAUUUUUGGACCUUUCUCAGACAUGGAUUAGAAAGUUGCCUGAUUCCAUUUGUGUAUUGUAUAACUUAGAGGUACUUCUCCUGUCAUCUUGUGCUUAUCUUGAGGAGCUACCGCUGCAGAUGGAGAAGUUGAUUAACUUGCGUCAUCUUGACAUAAGCAACACUUGGCGCUUGAAGACGCCCCUACAUCUGAGCAAGUUGAAAAGCCUCCAAGUGCUAAUGGGAGCCAAGUUUUUUCUUGGUGGUUUGAGAAUGGAAGAUUUGGGUGAAGCACAGAACUUGUAUGGAUCUUUAUCUGUUGUAGAGUUGCAAAAUGUGGUUGAUAGUAGGGAAGCUGUGAAGGCAAAGAUGAGGGAGAAGAAUCAUGUUGACAAGUUAUCUUUGGAGUGGAAUGGAAGUAGUAGCGCCGACAAUUCACAAACAGAAAGAGACAUACUUGAUGAGCUACGCCCGCAUAAAAACAUAAAAGGAGUCGAAAUCACUGGAUAUAGAGGGACAACAUUUCCAAAUUGGUUAGCUGAUCCUUUGUUUCUUAAGCUGGUGAAAUUGUCUCUUAGCUACUGCACGGACUGUUAUUCCUUGCCAGCACUAGGACAACUCCCUUCUUUGAAAUAUCUUUACAUUGGAGGGAUGCAUGGAAUAACAGAGGUGACAGAAGAAUUCUAUGGCAGUUUGUCCUCCAAAAAGCCUUUUAACUGUCUUGAGAAGCUUGAAUUUGAAUAUAUGCUGGAGUGGAAGCAAUGGCACGUAUUAGGAAAUGGAGAGUUCCCUACACUUGAGAACCUUUCAAUUAAAUAUUGCCCUGAACUCAGUUUGGAGACACCCAUCCAACUUUCAAGUUUAAAAAGGUUUGAAGUUAGUGGUUGUCCAAAGGUUGGAGUUGUUUUUGAUGAUGCUCAACUGUUUAGAUCCCAACUUGAGGGAAUGAAGGAGAUUGAAGAAUUAUAUAUUGUGAUUGUAACUCUGUUACCUCCUUACCUUUUAGCAUACUGCCCACUACCUUGAAGAGAAUAGAGAUAUCUGGUUGCCGGAAUUUGAAAUUGGAUCCGCCUGUUGGUGAGAUGAGUAUGUUUCUCGAGGAAUUGAGUCUGAAGGGAUGUGAUUGUAUGGAUGAUUUGCUCCCAAGAGCGCACAAACUGAGAAUUUGGAGUUGCCAGAAAAUUACUAGGUUUUUGAUUCCUACUGCGACUGAAACACUCAAUAUUUGGAGUUGUGAGAAUCUUGAUAAACUUUCAGUGGCAUGUGGGGGGACCCAGAGGACGUGUUUGAAUAUUUGGGAGUGUAAGAAGCUGAAGUGGCUGCCAGAACGUAUGCGGGAACUCCUUCCAUCUCUUAAGGAACUGCAUCUGUGGGAUUGUCCAGAAAUAGAGUCCUUUCCUGAAGGAGGAUUGCCCUUCAAUUUACAAGCCCUUCAGAUCAAAUUUGCAAGAAACUGGUGAAUGGCCGAAAGGAGUGGCGUUUACAGAGACUCCCCUGUCUCACAAAGUUAACGAUUAUGCAUGAUGGGAGUGACGAAGAGAUUGUUGGUGGUGAGAAUUGGGAGUUGCCUUCCUCUAUUCAAAGACUUUUUAUAGAGAAUCUGAAAACAUUAAGCAGCCAACAUCUCAAAAACCUCACCUCUCUUCAAUAUCUAGCUAUUAAGGGUAAUUUACCUCAAGUUCAGUCAAUGUUGGAACAAGGCCAGUUUUCGCACCUCACUUCGCUUCAACGUCUACAAAUCAUUGAUUUCCCUAAUCUCCAUUCCCUUCCAGUAAAAGGGAUGCCCUCUUCUCUCUCUAAACUAUGUAUUUCAGAAUGUCCAUUGCUCACACCACUACUAGAAUUUGACAAGGGGGAAUACUGGCCAAAUAUUGCUCAUAUCCCCACCAUAAAGAUCAAUAAGGAAUGUCUUUAAUGAUUAAAACAAAUGGUGCUCUCAUAAAUGUAAGCUUUUCUUUUUCCUCAUAAGCAUUCUAUUUUCUUUAACUUCCUUUGCUUUUAUGUUAAUUCUUUUUCUUUAUUACAUUCUUGUUGCGCAGUAUGGAGUGUCUAUUGCCACUCUGAAACUGAGAAAUCAUCUUCAGAUUAGAAUUAUUUUAAUUUUAGAUCUCAAUAGCAAUUAAUGUUACAUAUCUUACUCGAAGAUUUUUAUCGCUUGAACUUUCAUCUCAAUA